AUACGGAGGAUGCGAGCGUUAUCCGGAUUUAUUGGGUUUAAAGGGAGCGUAGGUGGGAUAUUAAGUCAGCUGCGAAAGUUUGGGGCUCAACCUUAAAAUUGCAGUUGAUACUGGUUUCCUUGAGUACGGUAUAGGUGGGCGGAAUUCGUGGUGUAGCGGUGAAAUGCUUAGAUAUCACGAAGAACUCCGAUCGCGAAGGCAGCUCACCGGGCCGGAACUGACACUGAUGCUCGAAAGUGCGGGUAUCAAACAGGAUUAGAUACCCUGGUAGUCCGCACAGUAAACGAUGAAUACUCGCUGUUUGCGAUACACUGUAAGCGGCCAAGCGAAAGCGAUAAGUAUUCCACCUGGGGAGUACGCCGGCAACGGUGAAACUCAAAUGAAUUGACGGGG
rnacentral:rRNA from 1 species